rnacentral:rRNA from 1 species
UACAGAGGUCCCAAGCGUUGUUCGGAUUCACUGGGCGUAAAGGGUGCGUAGGUGGCUUGGUAAGUUUGAUGUGAAAUCUCCGGGCUUAACCCGGAAAUGGCAUUGAAAACUAUUGAGCUGGAGGUUUGGAGGGGGGACUGGAAUUCUCGGUGUAGCAGUGAAAUGCGUAGAUAUCGAGAGGAACACCAGUGGCGAAGGCGAGUCUCUGGACAGUUACUGACACUGAGGCACGAAGGCCAGGGGAGCAAACGGG